CGCACAGUGGCUUAGUGGUUAGCCUGUUCGCCUCACACCUCCAGGGUCGGGGGUUCGAGUCCCGCCGGGGCCG